rnacentral:lncRNA from 1 species
CCGCCGGAUAGUCCGGCGGACGUUCACUCCGGGACCCACGGAAGCCCCAGUUCGGCCUCGUCGCUCUCCGCACCCGAGCCCGGGCCCGCCAGGCGCCCCCGCACUCCCCGCCGGAAGGCCCCGGAGGCUCGGCCCCCGCGAGCAUGCGCGUCCCGGCCCACCGCACCGCCGUCCGCCCGCGCGCCCAGGGCGGCGUGUGCCUGCGUGCGUGCGUCCGUGCGUGCGUGCGUGCGUGCGUGGAAGGGGUGGGCGUGCCCCAGGCUCCCCGCUGUCCCCGCCCUGUGGCGGCGCAGCCCGGCUCGGAGCCGCUGUUCUCCGCCCCGCCAGCCUCGCGGCUCCGGCCGCCUUCCCAGCCCAGCGGUUCUCCGGGCGCGGCGCCGGCCCCCGCGAGCGAGUAGGGCCGCGGUCGGGGCCGGGGCCGGGGCCGGGGGGGUGGGCGGCGGCUGGUCCUCGUGGCCGCCCGAGGCCGGAGCCAGAAGACGCGGACGCGCCCGCGGCGGAGAGCCUGGGACCGCGGCGCCUGCAGCCCCGCCGCCGGGACACCGCGGCCGGUCCGGGCCCGAAGGCGGGCGGCGGGGGCGGCGGGGGCGGCGGGCGUCUUCGACCUCCUCUCGUCUCCCUCUUCCUCUCCUCUUCCUCCUUCUCUCCUCUUCUUCCUUUCCUCUUCCUCUGCUCUUCCUCUCCACUUCCUCUCCCUUAACUCUUCCUCUCUUCCUCAUCUCUUCCUUCUCCUCUCCUCUUCCUCUCCACUUCUGUCCUCUUCCUCUCCUCUUCCUUUCCUCUUCCCCUGCUCUUCCCCUCUUCGUCUUCCUCUCCUCUUCCUCCCUCUUCCUCUCCUCUGCUCUUCCUCUUCUUUUAUCUUCCUCUUCCUCUCCACUUCUGUCCUCUUCCUCUCCUCUCCCUCUUCUCUUCCCCUGCUCUCCCUCUUCCUCUCCUCUUCCUCAUCCCUUCUUCCUCCUUCUCCUCUCCUCUUCUUCCUUUCCUCUUCCUCUGCUCUUCCUCUCCUGUUAUCUUCCUCUUCCUCUCCACUUCCUCUCCUCUUCCUCUGCUCUUCCUCUCUUCCUUAUCUCUUCCUUCUCCUCUUCCUCUCCUCUUCCUCUUCCUUUCCUCUCCUUUCCUCUUCCUCUGCUCUUUCUCUCCUCUUCUUUUAUCUUCCUCUUCCUCUCCACUUCUGUCCUCUUCCUCUCUUCUCUCUUCCUCUCGUCUUCCUUUCCUCUUUUCCUCCUCUUUAUUCUCUCCUUUCUUUCUCUUCUCUUUCCUUCUUUCUUUUUCUUUUCUUUCCACUCUCUCUUCUUUCCUCUCCUUCCUUCUCUUUCUCUUCUUUCCUCUCUUUCCUUUUUCUCUUUUCUUUCCUCUUUCUUUUUCUUUCCCUCUUUCCCUCCUUCCUUCUUUCAUCUUUACUUCCUUUUAAGUGUUACUACUUCCGUGCAAGAUCCACACUCCAGGGACAGUUGGAAAGUGCUUUUGAAUUACGUUCCUCCGGUGGAAAAGACAGUUACAUCUGGGCCAUGGAAGCUACCGGGUCUCAAUCCAAUAAGCUCUUAA